rnacentral:rRNA from 1 species
AUUGAACGCUGGCGGCAGGCCUAACACAUGCAAGUCGAGCGGUAGCACAGGGAGCUUGCUCCUGGGUGACGAGCGGCGGACGGGUGAGUAAUGUCUGGGAAACUGCCUGAUGGAGGGGGAUAACUACUGGAAACGGUAGCUAAUACCGCAUAACGUCGCAAGACCAAAGAGGGGGACCUUCGGGCCUCUUGCCAUCAGAUGUGCCCAGAUGGGAUUAGCUAGUAGGUGGGGUAACGGCUAACCUAGGCGACGAUCCCUAGCUGGUCCGAGAGGAUGACCAGCGACACUGGAACUGAGACACGGUCCAGACUCCUACGGGAGGCGGCAGUGGGGAAUAUUGCACAAUGGGCGCAAGCCUGAUGCAGCCAUGCCGCGUGUAUGAAGAAGGCCUUCGGGUUGUAAAGUACUUUCAGCGGGGGGGAAGGUGUUGAGGUUAACAACCUCAGCAAUUGACGUUACCCGCAGAAGAAGCACCGGCUAACUCCGUGCCAGCCGCCGCGGUAA